rnacentral:rRNA from 1 species
UACGUAUGAAGCAAGCGUUGUUCGGAAUUAUUGGGCGUAAAGGGCAUCUAGGCGGGAUGUUAAGUCAGAUGUGAAAGCCAGGGGCUCAACCCCUGAACUGCAUUUGAUACUGGCAUUCUUGAGUUCAGAAGAGGAAGGCGGAAUACCCGGUGUAGCGGUGAAAUGCGUAGAUAUCGGGUAGAACACCGGUGGCGAAGGCGGCCUUCUGGUCUUGAACUGACGCUGACAUGCGAAAGUGUGGGGAU